rnacentral:rRNA from 1 species
CCGCGAAUUCGCCCUUAGGGUUUGAUUAUGGCUCAGAUUGAACGCUGGCGGCAGGCCUAACACAUGCAAGUCGAGCGGUAGCACAAGAGAGCUUGCUCUCUGGGUGACGAGCGGCGGACGGGUGAGUAAUGUCUGGGAAACUGCCCGAUGGAGGGGGAUAACCACUGGAAACGGUGGCUAAUACCGCAUAACGUCUACGGACCAAAGAGGGGGACCUUCGGGCCUCUUGCCAUCGGAUGUGCCCAGAUGGGAUUAGCUAGUAGGUGGGGUAACGGCUCACCUAGGCGACGAUCCCUAGCUGGUCUGAGAGGAUGACCAGCCACACUGGAACUGAGGCACGGUCCAGACUCCUACGGGAGGCAGCAGUGGGGAAUAUUGCACAAUGGGCGCAAGCCUGAUGCAGCCAUGCCGCGUGUGUGAAGAAGGCCUUCGGGUUGUAAAGCACUUUCAGCGAGGAGGAAGGCCAAUAACUUAAUACGUUGUUGGAUUGACGUUACUCGCAGAAGAAGCACCGGCUAACUCCGUGCCAGCAGCCGCGGUAAUACGGAGGGUGCAAGCGUUAAUCGGAAUUACUGGGCGUAAAGCGCACGCAGGCGGUUUGUUAAGUCAGAUGUGAAAUCCCCGCGCUUAACGUGGGAACUGCAUUUGAAACUGGCAAGCUAGAGUCUCGUAGAGGGGGGUAGAAUUCCAGGUGUA